rnacentral:misc_RNA from 1 species
UACGUAGGUGGCAAGCGUUGUCCGGAAUUAUUGGGCGUAAAGCGUACGCAGGCGGUUUCUUAAGUCUGAUGUGAAAGCCCACGGCUCAACCGUGGAGGGUCAUUGGAAACUGGGGAACUUGAGUACAGAAGAGGAGAGUGGAAUUCCACGUGUAGCGGUGAAAUGCGUAGAUAUGUGGAGGAACACCAGUGGUGAAGGCGAGGCUCUGGUCUGUAACUGACGCUGAGGCGCGAAAGCGUGCGGAGCAAACAGG